rnacentral:tRNA from 5 species
UCCUCUUUAGCUCAGUUGGUUAGAGCAUCUGACUGUUAAUCAGAGGGUCCUUAGUUCGAGCCUAAGAAGAGGAGCAA